rnacentral:tRNA from 1 species
UGGCUCAGACGGUAAAGCGUCUGCUUCCAAUGCAGAAGACCCAGGUUCGAUCCCUGG